AGCAGCCGCGGUAAUUCCAGCUCCAAUAGCGUAUAUUAAAGUUGUUGCAGUUAAAAAGCUCGUAGUUGAAUUUCGGGAUCAAUUAAUUGGUCGUGCCUCUGGUACGCACUGGGUUUAUUGGUUUCUCCCUUCUGACGAACCACGAUGUCAUUAAUUUGGUGUCGUGGAGAACCAGGACUGUUACUUUGAAAAAUUAGAGUGUUUAAAGCAGGCUAACGCUUGAAUACAUUAGCAUGGAAUAAUGAAAUAGGACGUUUGAUCCUAUUUUGUUGGUUUCUAGGAUCGACGUAAUGAUUAAUAGGGAUAGUUGGGGGCAUUAGUAUUCAAUUGUCAGAGGUGAAAUUCUUGGAUUUAUUGAAGACUAACUACUGCGAAAGCAUUUGCCAAGGAUGUUUUCAUUAAUCAAGAACGAAAGUUAGGGGAUCGAAGACGAUCAGAUACCGUCGUAGUCUUAACCAUAAACUAUGCCGACUAGGGAUCGGAUGAUGUUAAUUUUUAAUGUACUCAUUCGGCGCCUUAA
rnacentral:rRNA from 1 species